UACAGACGGUCCAAACGUUAUUCGGAAUCACUGGGCUUAAAGAGUUCGUAGGCGGUCAGGAAAGUGGGGUGUGAAAGCCCUCGGCUUAACCGAGGAAUUUCGCUCCAAACUCCCUGACUUGAGGAGGCUAGAGGUAAGCGGAACUGAUGGUGGAGCGGUGAAAUGCGUUGAUAUCAUCAGGAACACCGGAGGCGAAGGCGGCUUACUGGGGCCUUUCUGACGCUGAGGAACGAAAGCUAGGGGAGCGAACGGG
rnacentral:rRNA from 1 species